UGGGGAAUAUUGCACAAUGGGCGCAAGCCUGAUGCAGCCAUGCCGCGUGUGUGAAGAAGGCCUUCGGGUUGUAAAGCACUUUCAGCGGGGAGGAAGGCGUUAAGGUUAAUAACCUUGGCGAUUGACGUUACCCGCAGAAGAAGCACCGGCUAACUCCGUGCCAGCAGCCGCGGUAAUACGGAGGGUGCAAGCGUUUAUCGGAAUUACUGGGCGUAAAGCGCACGCAGGCGGUCUGUCAAGUCGGAUGUGAAAUCCCCGGGCUCAACCUGGGAACUGCAUUCGAAACUGGCAGGCUAGAGUCUUGUAGAGGGGGGUAGAAUUCCAGGUGUAGCGAUGAAAUGCGUAGAGAUCUGGAGGAAUACCGGUGGCGAAGGCGGCCCCCUGGACAAAGACUGACGCUCAGGUGCGAAAGCGUGGGGAGCAAACAGG
rnacentral:rRNA from 1 species